rnacentral:rRNA from 1 species
UACAGAGGUCCCGAGCGUUGUUCGGAUUCACUGGGCGUAAAGGGUGCGUAGGUGGCUUGAAAAGUUUGAUGUGAAAGCUCAGGGCUUAACCCUGAAAUGGCAUUGAAUACUGUCGAGCUGGAGGUUUGGAGGGGGGACUGGAAUUCUUGGUGUAGCAGUGAAAUGCGUAGAUAUCAAGAGGAACACCAGUGGCGAAGGCGAGUCCCUGGACAACACCUGACACUGAGACACGAAGGCCAGGGGAGCAAACGGG